rnacentral:rRNA from 1 species
GUAGGGAAUAUUGGGCAAUGGAUGCAAGUCUGACCCAGCCAUGCCGCGUGGAGGAAGAAGGUCCUCUGGAUUGUAAACUCCUUUUUUGGGGGAAGGAUAGUUCUCUUGCGAGGGAAUGUGACGGUACCCUAAGAAUAAGCCACGGCUAACUACGUGCCAGCAGCCGCGGUAAUACGUAGGUGGCAAGCGUUGUCCGGAUUUAUUGGGUUUAAAGGGUGCGUAGGUGGUUUGAUAAGUCAGUGGUGAAAGCUGGUUGCUCAACAAUCAAGUUGCCAUUGAUACUGUCGGACUUGAGAGAAGUGGAGGUUCAUGGAAUGGAUGGUGUAGCGGUGAAAUGCAUAGAUAUCAUCCAGAACGUCGAUUGCGAAGGCAGUGGGCUGUACUUUAUCUGACACUGAGGCACGAAAGUGUGGGGAUCAAACAGGAUUAGAUACCCGGGUAGUCC